rnacentral:tRNA from 1 species
UCCCCAGUAGCUCAGUUGGUAGAGCAGGUGGCUGUUAACCACCGGGUCAGUGGUUCGAGUCCGCUCUGGGGAG